GCAUCUGUGAGGAGACACGAGACGGAGCCGGGCCAGCCGGAAAAGAAAAACAGAUGAGGCGGCAGUGGCCCAAUGCAUGCUGCAUAAAAAUGUAUAAAAUACAGCAAGCAAAAACAGAAAAACUUGACGAUCUUUCAACAAUAUCUGAAGAAAUUCCAUUAUUUCUUUAUGAAGAUGAAACCAUCCAACCUAGCUCUGAUUUCCCAGCAACAGGUGUACUUUGGAAGAAUAAAAUGUACAGACUGAAGCUGUAAUUUUCACCAGAAUGUAAAGAAAGGAAUCACAGAUGUCAGAGUUACUGUUCAAACUGCUGUUUAUCUAGUUAAACUGUACUUGAGUUACAAAAUUUGCACUUCAUUUCUCCAUACACUGUGCUGUAGUUAUUGACUUCAAAACAUCACUGUCCAGGGUCUGGACCAGUUUGUUCUUGUAGUUGAGGCUCCAAAAUGGUGGUCAGAACCGCAGAGAAGAUCAUCGGGGCCGACCUUUCCUCAGUCCAGGACCUGUACCUGUCCAGAUCUAAAAAGCGGGCAACGAAGAUAAUAAAAGACCAGCUACACCCUGGCCACAGCAUGUUUAACUUGCUUCCUUCCGGCAGGCGUUACAGGGCCGUCCCCGCCAGGUCCACCAGAAGCCUCAAAAGUUUCUUUCCCCAAGCGGUCCGCCUGCUGAACUCCUGAACAUUGACUGACUAGAUGUACAUGUAACUGACUUGUGUCCCUAAGGUAUACCUAUCUGUAUAACUUUACUUGUCCCCCACCCCCCAGCCCCACCUGCUUAUCUGUUACCUACUUGGCUGUUGUAUAGCAAACCAAAGACAAAUUCCUAGUAUAUGCAAGUAUACCUGGCCAAUAAAGCUGAUUCUGAUUCUGA